rnacentral:rRNA from 1 species
UAAGAGCUUGCUCUUAUGAAGUUAGCGGCGGACGGGUGAGUAACACGUGGGUAACCUACCCAUAAGACUGGGAUAACUCCGGGAAACCGGGGCUAAUACCGGAUAAUAUUUUGAACUGCAUAGUUCGAAAUUGAAAGGCGGCUUCGGCUGUCACUUAUGGAUGGACCCGCGUCGCAUUAGCUAGUUGGUGAGGUAACGGCUCACCAAGGCGACGAUGCGUAGCCGACCUGAGAGGGUGAUCGGCCACACUGGGACUGAGACACGGCCCAGACUCCUACGGGAGGCAGCAGUAGGGAAUCUUCCGCAAUGGACGAAAGUCUGACGGAGCAACGCCGCGUGAGUGAUGAAGGCUUUCGGGUCGUAAAACUCUGUUGUUAGGGAAGAACAAGUGCUAGUUGAAUAAGCUGGCACCUUGACGGUACCUAACCAGAAAGCCACGGCUAACUACGUGCCAGCAGCCGCGGUAAUACGUAGGUGGCAAGCGUUAUCCGGAAUUAUUGGGCGUAAAGCGCGCGCAGGUGGUUUCUUAAGUCUGAUGUGAAAGCCCACGGCUCAACCGUGGAGGGUCAUUGGAAACUGGGAGACUUGAGUGCAGAAGAGGAAAGUGGAAUUCCAUGUGUAGCGGUGAAAUGCGUAGAGAUAUGGAGGAACACCAGUGGCGAAGGCGACUUUCUGGUCUGUAACUGACACUGAGGCGC